CAUAAAAAACAGGAAUUCUCCUCUUCCACCUUAUUUUGAUCCUUUAAAUCAAACACACCCUAAGCUGCGCACCCCACGCAGCUUCACCCUCAUCUAGGCGAGACAGUCAACUGUAGCAAUCCGAUUCGAGCAUAGCCUCCGCCCUUCGGCUCACGGCCGUGUGCCGAUUUCACCAGCCACCUCCACCCCUCACGUGCGGUCUCUCUUGCGCUUGGUUUGCUGGUCACUCUAAUACCACCAGUCUGAUGGCCGAUGGGUUGCAAUUGGUUGUCAAACCACUUGCCACUCAGCCACUGCACCGACUUGGUCCCUCCUCAGCCCAAAGCAGCACAAUAGUGCAUCCGAUCCUGAAAGAAACAGAUUGCUUGCGAGCUGGAUGGACUGAUGGAGCCUCCAGACUAAGGAUUUAUUUUCUGAGACUUCUCUGAGGAGGAGAAGCUCGGAGAAGGCGGCUUCGGUGCAGUUUACAGAGGAUUUCUGAAAGAGCUAGACCUCCACGUUGCCAUCAAGAGAGUGUGGAGGGGUUCAGGGCAGGGGAGGAAAGAGUACACCUGAGGUGAAGAUCAUAAGUCAGCUGAGGCAUCGGAUCCUUAUACAGCUCAUCGGAUGGUGCCACGAGGGCAGGGAGCUACUCCUUGUGUAUGAUCUAAUGCCUAACGGCAACCUCGACACCCAUCUAUACAACCCAACUGUCCUCCUAACGUGGCCAGUCAGAAAAAUUACACACAUAGAAAGUUCUAGUGUGAACAUCGUAUGUUCCGAUGUUCACCGGAAGUUCCAGCAUGGGCAAUAUAUGCUCGCCAGACUAUUUUUUGGAGAGAGCAAACUUUUGGACAAAAUUGAAAAUCAAUGUAUCAGAAGGUUUGGUGAGUAUGGUGGCUACAAGUGAGGAAAUUACCGGAGCAUUUUUAGUACUAAAGUAGAAAUGAAAGCAAACACCAGAUGAUCCGGUGAUGGACUUCGAGAGCGUCAGAGUAUUUUCUGCAGGGGGAGUUUUUGGCGCCAAGUUUGAUUAUGUACGCCGGAUAGUCCGGUAUUGUAAUUGUAAACACCAGAGAAAGCACCAGACCUUUUGUUAUAGAGAGGUUGUAGGAGGGUGGUUCGGUAGAUUGGCACAUACCAUAUUAUCCGGUGAUGGACAUGAGAUCACCGAAAGAUUUUAUCGGACCUUUUCUUACAGAGAGCAAAAAUUUUCUGGAACAGAUAAUGUUACACUCAUCGGAUGAUCUGGUGUUCAGGAGCAAAACACACCGGAACAUCCGGUGUUCAUAUUUUAUGUAGAAUGUGCUCCGAGUUGAAAUUUUUGAUUUUAUGCUAACCUAGAGAUGUUUUGAAGUGUGAAGAAAUGUGUUUGCUUGUUUCAUGAUGUGCAGGUGAUGGAUGCAACUUGGCGGUCAACGGCGGGUGAUCGUGGCUAAGCGGGUGCUUGGUGCAGAACGAUCAAGGAGGGCCGGACGAAGUCGAGAGUGAUCCUAGCUAUACACAUGAAGGUCAAGCAAAGCAUUAAAUGGAGGAUAAAGAUAGCGUGUCGACAAAGUCAAGCGAAGGGGAUGCUGGUGCAAGUGACAAGGCGGCCCGGGGGAUCAGGAGUGGGAGAGGCUUGCUGGAGGUCAAAAUCAUAUGAUGAAGGACACACAUCAUCAUCGGAGCGUUUGCUUCUAGUGAAAGCAAGUGAUGGCUAGUUACGCUUCGAGAAGUGUGAUAUGGUUUUACGAUUUGGCCUCAAAAUCAUUGGGGGGACUGGAGAAGUACGUGGCACUAUCGCGAAGUUUGCGUCGAGCCAAACCUAAGUCGUAAAGGCAUCGCAGCCGCCGAUGAAUGGAGAAAAAAAUGAACUAAAAUACCAUCAGUGGUAGGUAGAAGUGUAUUACAAGAGAUGGAUAUUGUGGAAAAAAAAGCUAGAAAAUUUGAGAGUAAAAUUUUCUAGUCCUAUAAAUAGAGGAGUAUGAUUAUAGGAGAGGAUAAAUUAACCAUUUGAGCCCCUUAUGCUACUCAUAUGAGAGCAUUGUAAUAGGGUUUUAGUGGAGAUGGGGAUGAGCGCUUAGCUUAUGAAAUAGGUGAGAGUUUUGAGAGAAAAAUCUUUUUAAUUUGCCUUA